rnacentral:tRNA from 1 species
AGAAAUUUAGGUUAACACCUUUAAACCAAGGACCUUCAAAGCCCUAAACAGGGAACAAAACUCCCUAAUUUCU